ACUCCUACGGGAGGCAGCAGUGGGAAUAUUGGACAAUGGGCGAAAGCCUGAUCCAGCAAUGCCGCGUGAGUGAUGAAGGCCUUAGGGUUGUAAAGCUCUUUUACCCGGGAAGAUAAUGACUGUACCGGGAGAAUAAGCCCCGGCUAGCUACGUGCCAGCAGCCGCGGUAAUACGGAGGGGCGUAGCGUUGUUCGGAAUUACUGGGCGUAAAGCGCACGUAGGCGGCUUUGCAAGUUAGAGGUGAAA
rnacentral:rRNA from 1 species